rnacentral:tRNA from 1 species
GAGGGUGUAGCUCAGUGGUGGAGUGCGUGCUUAGCAUGCACCAGGUCCUGGAUUCGAUCCCCAGAACCUCA